rnacentral:rRNA from 1 species
UUCCGGUUGAUCCUGCCGGAGGCCAUUGCUAUCGGAGUCCGAUUUAGCCAUGCUAGUCGAGCGAGGUUAGCCCUCGCGGCGAACAGCUCAGUAACACGUGGCCAAGCUACCCUGCAGAGGGGGACAGCGUCGGGAAACUGACGGGAAUCCCCCAUACCGGUCUCACGCUGGAAUGCCGAGACCGACAAACGCUCCGGCGCUGCAGGAUGCGGCUGCGGCCGAUUAGGUAGUCGGUGGGGUAACGGCCCACCGAGCCGAUAAUUGGUACGGGGUGUGAGAGCACGAGCCCGGAGACGGAAUCUGAGACAAGAUUCCGGGCCCUACGGGGCGCAGCAGGCGCGAAACCUUUACACUGCACGAACGUGCGAUAAGGGGACUCCGAGUGCGAGGGCAUACAGUCCUCGCUAUUGUGUACCGUAGGGUGGUACACGACCAAGAGCUGGGCAAGACCGGUGCCAGCCGCCGCGGUAAUACCGGCAGCUCGAGUGAUGGCCGAUUUUAUUGGGCCUAAAGCGUCCGUAGCUGGCCCUGCAAGUCCGUCGGGAAAUCCACUCGCCUAACGAGUGGGCGUCCGGCGGAAACUACAGGGCUUGGGACCGGAAGACUUGAGGGGUACGUCUGGGGUAGGAGUGAAAUCCUGUAAUCCUGGACGGACCGCCGAUAGCGAAAGCACCUCAAGACGACGGAUCCGACAGUGAGGGACGAAAGCUAGGGUCUCGAACCGGAUUAGAUACCCGGGUAGUCCUAGCUGUAAACGAUGUUCGCUAGAUGUGGCACAGGCUACGUGCCUGUGCUGUGUCGUAGGGAAGCUGAGUACGCGCAUCGCCUGGGUAGUACGUCCGCCA